AUUGAACGCUGGCGGAAUGCUUUACACAUGCAAGUCGAACGGCAGCACGGACUUCGGUCUGGUGGCGGGUGGCGAACGGGUGAGUAAUGUAUCGGAACGUGCCCAGUCGUGGGGGAUAACGUAGUGAAAAUUACGCUAAUACCGCAUACGAUCUAUGGAUGAAAGCGGGGGAUCGCAAGACCUCGCGCGAUUGGAGCGGCCGAUAUCAGAUUAGGUAGUUGGCGGGGUAAAGGCCCACCAAGCCAACGAUCUGUAGCUGGUCUGAGAGGACGACCAGCCACACUGGAACUUAGACACGGUCCAGACUCCUACGGGAGGCAGCAGUGGGGAAUUUUGGACAAUGGGCGAAAGCCUGAUCCAGCCAUUCCGCGUGCAGGAUGAAGGCCCUCGGGUUGUAAACUGCUUUUGUACAGAACGAAAAGGUUUCUACUAAUACUAGGAGCUCAUGACGGUACUGUAAGAAUAAGCACCGGCUAACUACGUGCCAGCCGCCGCCGUAA
rnacentral:rRNA from 1 species